ACCUGCAGCCAGACCCUCUUAGGCUAUGAACUCAUCAGCUUUCACAAGCUAAGAAAGUUUGGAUCUAAUCAGUACCUGCAUAGGAGACCACCAUGGGAAACAUGGAGCGCCAGAUC
rnacentral:rRNA from 1 species